UAGGGAAUCUUCCACAAUGGACGCAAGUCUGAUGGAGCAACGCCGCGUGAGUGAAGAAGGUUUUCGGAUCGUAAAGCUUUGUUGUUGGUGAAGAAGGAUAGAGGCAGUAACUGGUCUUUAUUUGACGGUAAUCAACCAGAAAGUCACGGCUAACUACGUGCCAGCAGCCGCGGUAAUACGUAGGUGGCAAGCGUUGUCCGGAUUUAUUUGGCGUAAAGCGAGCUCAGGCGGAAUGAUAAGUCUGAUGUGAAAGCCCACGGCUCAACCGAGGACCUGCAUCGGAACAAGUCAUUCUUGAGUGCAGAAGAGGAGAGUGGAGUUCCAUGUGUAGCGGUGGAAUGCGUAGAUAUAUGGAAGAACACCAGUGGCGAAGGCGGCUCUCUGGUCUGCAACUGACGCUGAGGCUCGAAAGCAUGGGUAGCGAACAGG
rnacentral:rRNA from 1 species